rnacentral:rRNA from 1 species
AAGGCUCGUCCGCUCUGGGUUAGUCGGGUCCUAAGCUGAGGCCGACAGGCGUAGGCGAUGGAUAACAGGUUGAUAUUCCUGUACCACCUAUAAUCGUUUUAAUCGAUGGGGGGACGCAGUAGGAUAGGCGAAGCGUGCGAUUGGAUUGCACGUCUAAGCAGUAAGGCUGAGUAUUAGGCAAAUCCGGUACUCGUUAAGGCUGAGC